GAUUAACGCUGGCGGCGUGCCUAACACAUGCAAGUCGAACGGAGAUUAUAGCAAUGUAAUCUUAGUGGCGGACGGGUGAGUAACGCGUGGGCAACCUGCCUUUUACCGGGGGAUAACACAGGGAAACUUGUGCUAAUACCGCAUAACAUCAUGAAGGGACAUCCCUUUAUGAUCAAAGGAGCAAUCCGGUAGAAGAUGGGCCCGCGUCCGAUUAGCUAGUUGGCGGUGUAACGGACCACCAAGGCGACGAUCGGUAGCCGAACUGAGAGGUUGAUCGGCCACAUUGGGACUGAGACACGGCCCAGACUCCUACGGGAGGCAGCAGUGGGGAAUAUUGCGCAAUGGGGGAAACCCUGACGCAGCAACGCCGCGUGAAGGAUGAAGGUUUUCGGAUCGUAAACUUCUUUGAUGAGGGACGAAGAAAUGACGGUACCUCAAAAACAAGCCACGGCUAACUACGUG
rnacentral:rRNA from 1 species